UUUUUUUUUUUUUUUUUUUUUUUUUUGCAGAGCUGUAUAAACUAGUUUAAGAAAGAAAACCAUGGAUAAUGCAGAAUAGUUGAUCCAAUUUAUUGGCAAGAAGGUCACAAUUAGAAACAUUUAAGAGCUUUUGAUAUAUGUUUAAAAACCUCUUUUUUUCAGCUACAAGACUUGGUUGAUCCAGGUGAACUCAUGGGUGUUCCCUCUCAUCUCCUGACUCAGUAACUCUUGGAAUAAUGUGGGGUUGGGUCAAAUGGUAAAGCUUCUUUUCAGGACCCCCAAAGAAUUCAUUCCCUGUGUCAAUGAUGUGGUUUUACCCUCUCCUUUAGAAACAUCUAGUUUGAUUUAAGUUUUCCAGACUCAGAGUGAACAGUUCUAGAAUAGGAAGAAUGAGGUGUCAUGCUGCAAAAAUACUGUAGCAGGCAAGAGGGAGGGCCAGUGUGAGUAUCCAAGCUCUUGUAGUGAGUGGUAGGAAGAAACCAGGUUUAAUGUUUGGGGCCACUAGGAGGACCGUUUAAGCCGAGUAGCUCAUUUUGCACCACCAUAAAGCAUUUCAAGGAAAAAUGUUUCUUUCCAUAAACUUGGCCCUCUCUCUCCUUUUCUGACUUCUGCUGGUGGUACCCCAGUCUCCUUUUGACCAAUGUUAGAAACAUCACAGUUUUUCUGGCCUCUCACUUUCUACCUUAUCAAUGUAGUCAAGUAUUUGCCAAGAUCUGAAAACUGAAUAUGUCGUAUAUCGCUUAUGUACUUUCCUUUAUUUGGCUAUCCCUCAUUUUAUCUUUCCUUCAAUGAUUCCCUAUAUUCCAAAACUCUAACCUCUAAAAUGCUCCCAGACUCAUCUCCUAAAGCACAAACCCCAUUGAUGGGCUAAAGGGGUCCAAGCUAUGCUUAAUCUGACAUUCAAGGCCUUCCAUGAUCGCUGGACCAAGAUCCUCAUCUCAGGUAUUUACUGUUACUCCUUCAUGUUGCUUUCCACUCUACUAAGUUGGAAUUUAAGCAUUGUUCAAACAAUCCCAACAUUCUCCACUUCAUUUGGGGAGUUUUUUUCAGUCUUUUUAUUUGUCAACUUGUUAUUUGUUUGAAGUACCAUACAUUCUUCAGAAUUGAUUUCAAAAGUUCCCUUUUCCCUGGUGCUUAUCUGACUACUUUAGCUUACAUAACUGAUCUUUCUCUUUUAAACGUCAAUGACACAAUUUUUACGGCAUUUAUCAGAUUCUGGUUUUUACCAGCCCAUCAUUUUUAUCCACAAUUUGAUCUCAAACAGGAAUGCUAUUUGAUUCAUGUCAAAUAAAUGAACAAAUGGAUGAUGUAUCCAUGAAUAGAUUUCCUUGUGAGAUCAUUUUAGAGUGGUAGAAAAAAAGGGAAUUAUUUUGUUUAAAUUUUUGUAAUUUUCUAAGGCCGUAGUAACACAGUCAAUCAAUAGGAAGAGAUUUUAACACACAGUACGUAGUGUCAGAAAAAUGAUCCACAGCAGUUUAACGUCUUGUCUGGCUCAUCUCUCAAUUUCAAAGGCCCUUCUAAGACUUGUGCUGAAACCUAUUUGUGAUGCUUUUCAUCUUUAUUUGCCACCGAAUUACUACAAUUAAAGCAUUAAUCCUUUGUUAGGUUGGUCUUAGUUUAGAUUUUCUGUUUUGGAUAUUUCAUUGUGAAUUUUGUCUAAAUGUUGUCCUUGAUUCCAGAAUGGGCCAGAAAACAUUUUUCAGCUUUGUUUAUGAAAAAAUUUUAUUCUAAAUACGAUUUCAAGAGGUAAAGAUGAGGAAAUGGCAUUUCAGCCUGACAGAACGAUUUGAGCAAAUAUUAGACAAAGUAAAAAAUGUUAGAGUCACAGGUAUAGGAGUUCCCUGGUGGCCUUGUGGGUUAAGGAUCUAGCAUCAUCACUGCUAUGGUUUGGGCCACUGGUGUGGUACAGGUUGGAUCCCUGGCCUGAGAACUUAUGCAUUCCAUAGGCGCAGCCAAAAAAAAAAUUUUUUUUUUAAAUAAAAUUAAAAAAAAAGAAAGCUGAGAACUAUAGAUGCCUGGGAUCCUUGGGAGGUUUACCAUCUGGGAAAUGAACAACAUACCUUUAUUUUCAGGUAUACACGUGAUGGGAGUGUAAAGGGUAGACUGGACAUAUGAAACACUAGAGAUAAGAAAACAAAAUAAAAAUCUCUUGUGAUAGAGUAGGUAAGAGGCCCUAAAUUGGAUAAAUAGGAAGGCUGGGAUUUUGGAGUGGUGGCAGAAGAUGACUCAUAUGAGUGUUUUAUCCUCAAAGUGUUGACAAAUCUUGAUGUUUCCAGCGUGGGUGAUAGCUGCUGUGGGAAACCCAGGGGGAUCAGAGGGUAGGAAGCUGUGAGAAUGGAUCCCGUUUCUGGCCCAUUGAAUCUGAAUUCACUUCAGAUUAUGGAAUUUUUAUGUAGAGAAUCAAAAAUUCAGACAGAGAAUUCAAGAGCUAAGGAGCUAUCCAUUCAGAUUUAAAUGUCACAGCAUAGCUCUGACUGUUGAAACCCAGACAAAAGCUAAAAGCAGCCGAAGGACUUGUAGAAUAGGAAAGGAAGGAACAUGAUCGUCCUCUACAAAUAGGUUAAGGAAGAAGGAUGGAAGGAAUGAUGGAGACUGAGAAGAACUACACAGGGCUUACGGAAAGGGCGGGCUAGAAUUUGCCUUUGCCAGAUGGAGUAGGAGCCAGGUUGCAGAGUGAGUGGCAGAGUCAGGACAGGGCUUACGGAAAGGGCGGGCUAGAAUUUGCCUUUGCCAGAUGGAGUAGGAGCCAGGUUGCAGAGUGAGUGGCAGAGUCAGGAGGAAUGUAUGCCUUGCUCUUUCCUGUGGAUGACUCAUGAUUAAGCAUUCAACUUGUCUCCACAUAUGUGAAAAUUGUUAAAUAUUCUCCUUCAGCUGGGCUCAUUUAGGCAAAAAUGAGUCACUUUCCUUUUGUUCAACCUAAUGAAGCCAAAUCUUGAAAACCUUUAAAAGUUUUUUUUUUUUGAGACUCUUUAAAAUAUUGUCUCCAACCUUUCACCUCUAAUUUCACACGUGAUCCCAUUAUAUAUUAAAGAGGACCUGAUUAGCUAAAGAAGAUCAUGAGGCCAUUUUUCCUUGAUUUGCCACUAGUUAUAAGACUCUAGUACAGUGUUUACUUUACAACCUGCAGCAUUGCUGGUAUUCACCUAACUUUCUUUUGAGCUUUUCUUGCAGUGUAAUUAAUACCUGCCACAGAUUCCCUUUGCAAGUACACAUCAAGCAUGGAAAAUUGUUUGCAAUGGCUCCUGAAAAUGAGUUUAGUCUUAAUCAACUUAAUAGCAUUUUUAAUGUGGCGUAGGAUAACCUAAAUGUGUACCUAUAAAACCAUCUAGUUUAGAGAUGGAUUAGUCAUCAAACUGGUCAAGUUAACAAGAAAUGCAAUUAAGGCUAACUUGGUCACUUCUUAUUCAGACUUUCCAUCUGUGGGCCUAUGAAUUGUAAAAGAAAAGGCCAAAUAAGCUUGAAUUCCCACUAUUUUUAUUCAAUCAUUUAGAAUAGCUUAUUAUUUUCUGGUAUAUGCUUGUCUGUGUGCAUUUGUGUGUUUUGCUAUAUAUGUGCUUGGGUUUUAGAGCAUUUUUCGUACCUUCUAUCAUAUAAUUUUCAUUCUGUAUAAGUUUUCUUCCCUUCAUCAUAAACUGUCUUAGGCUAGAUCAGUGUUUUGCUUUCCCUUUUGUCUCUAGAGCACUCAGCUUUAUGCUUUGUUUCAACAACAUUCUUUUUU
rnacentral:lncRNA from 1 species